ACUCUGCUUUUCCUGUUGGCUUUCUCAUUGCUUUGCAGAAGUCCAUUUCUAGGUUCUGUUUCUUUGUGCUAAACAUAUGUUUUUUGCCAUUAUUUAUGUUAUGACCUUUAAACCAGAUUUUGCAUUUUCCUGCAUUUUGGAAUUUAACCUAUCUACUAUUGUGAUGCUUAGUGUUAACUUUGGAUAUUUAGCAUACAAUGCCUGCAACUGAUGUGUCUGCAUAAUUCUCUCAUCUACUUCGUUUAUGCUGUUUUUUUGAGGUGAGCUAGAGAUGUUCCUAUUGAAUCUGAUAGUCAGCAAAAAUGAUGCUUUUUCUCUUCCUUUUUUUUUUUGUUAUUGGAUUUGACGUUUAUUCUAUGUCAAGAAUCAGGAUUGGUUUUGUUAGAUGAUAGAAUAAUCUUGUGAUGCAGAACUAUGUCUUUAGUGAAAUCUCUGAAGAUAUGUUGAUCAUGAAUGAUCUUUGAAUUGACCUUAUGCUCUCUGAUCAUAAAUAGCUUGAUUAUUCACUUCUUAGCUAUUUAUUUUCCUUUUGUUCUUUCGAUGGCUUUGAGAGCCAACAGUAGGGAAAAAAUUGGAACUUUUUUCUUAAUAUUAAAGAACUAUUUUCAUUUUGUUUUCCAAUAUUGACUUCUUAUGUUUCCUUAUGUUUCUGCAAUAACAACUCUGCAAGUUUUGUACAAUACACUAAAUAGUCCUCCACAACUAACUGGUUGGAAAACCAAUGAUAGCGAUCCAUCUGCACAGUCAUGAAAAGGAAUUACCUGUCAAAGCUCUGCAGUUGUUUCGCUUACGUGUUCUUGCAAUUAUUUGCAAAAUAACCAAUUGACUGGUUCACUCAAUAUUUUGCUUGGGUAGCCUUUGAUAGAUUUAUAUGUUGCAAACAACAAUUUCGGUGGAUGAAUACCACAUGAACUCCUCUCCAUCUGUAGCUUUAAAUACAAUGGGAAUUCCUUUUCCAAUCGUCCUGCUCCUCCGCCACUGCCAUAUACCCCACCUCCUCCUGGUAGAUUCAGGAAUGCUCUUCUCCAGCUCCAGGUGCAGACAGGGAUUCCAAAAAAUCAAACAACACAUCCAAAUACUGGAAAUGGAGAUAAGGGGCUGAAAGAUGGACCUAUUGUAAGCAUAGUUCUAGGCUCUUGCAUUAAUUGCACUUGUUUUUUGCCUUAGAAAGGGGAAAAAGAAGCAAAUUGCUGCAAAACCUUCCAGUGAAAAUUAGCAAUAGGGCUCUGAAAGUCAUCAUCAUCAGGACCACUUUCAUUGCAGCAAACCUAAUGCUUUUGGCGAAAGGGUCUCCUAAAAACAUGAAGAGCAUUAACUCCUGAACUUUGCUCAGUGGCACAAUUAGAAGUAAUCUCCUCAAAGGUCAUCUCCAUUAUGUAACCACUACGUGAGCACUUUCAUUUACACCACUCAUGGGAUUUGUUAUCUUCAGUCCUAUUACCCAAACCAGCUUUCUCGUAGUUCUGCACCAGAAGCAGAACCGGCUGUCCUACAGCUAGUAUUGCCCUGGGGUCCUUAUUCGGAAGCUGGAUGAUCUUGCACUUCUCUCUACACCAAUAGUUUGGUACUGAUUUUGGACCAUUUAUUUGGAUCUUGGUCGGGUAACUAUGUCCCAAUCUAAUGGGAAUCGCUCAGCUUUUGAUAGCUCUGCUUUGGGGGAAAUGAACGCAAUCCAACGGAUUGUGGGACAAAAUGUUGAAUCUAGGGCAGCAAUGGUGAAGCUGAUUGGUCAUGCGAGAAUCCAAUGGGUAAUGGAACACCAGCAAGCAACAACGCCUAUUUUGAAAUGGAGGAGGAGUUUGGAUUCUUCUGGCAGGAGUCAUCUUCAAAUGGGCUCUGUUACGAACAAGAAGCUCUGUACCCGGUCUAUUUGUAACGAAAUUCCAGAGGGCUAUGGCAUUAGCUGGGUUUUGUACACCUGGAGGCUGGAAUAUAAGUUCUUGACUCAAUAUAUUUUGGCAAACAGGGGCGGCGUCUCAUUUGGAUCGUGGACAACUAUCCUAUUAGCAACAACACAUUUACUUA